GAUGAACGCUGGCGGCGUGCAUAACACAUUCAAGUCGAACGGUGAUUGCCUUCGGGCAUGAUCAGUGGCGGACGGGUGAGUAACGCGUGAGCAACCUGCCCUUGUGUGGGGGAUACCGUCUGGAAACGGACGUUAAUACCGCAUAACACAAGAGGACCGCAUGAUCCUCUUGUCAAAGAUUUAUUGCGCAAGGAUGGGCUCGCGUUGGAUUAGAUAGUUGGUAGGGUAACGGCCUACCAAGUCUGCGAUCCAUAGCCGGACUGAGAGGUUGAACGGCCACAUUGGAACUGAGAUAUGGUCCAG
rnacentral:rRNA from 1 species